CUACGGGCGGCAGCAGUGGGGAAUAUUGGACAAUGGAGGAAACCCUGAUCCAGCAAUGCCGCGUGUGUGAAGAAGGCCUGCGGGUUGUAAAGCACUUUCGGUUGGGAGGACUGCUUCUAGCACUAAUAUUGUUGGAAGUUGACGUUACCUUCAGAAGAAGCACCGGCUAACUCCGUGCCAGCAGCCGCGGUAAUACGGAGGGUGCAAGCGUCAAUCGGAAUUACUGGGCGUAAAGCGCGCGUAGGCGGCUAGAUCAGUCGGGUGUGAAAGCCCCGGGCUUAACCUGGGAACUGCAUCCGAUACUGUCUAGCUUGAGUACAGGAGAGGAGAGUGGAAUUCCACAUGUAGCGGUGAAAUGCGUAGAUAUGUGGAGGAACACCAAUGGCGAAGGCAGCUCUCUGGCCUGAUACUGACGCUGAGGUGCGAAAGCGUGGGGAGCAAACAGGAUUAGAUACCCCAGUAGUC
rnacentral:rRNA from 1 species